UACCAGCACCCCGAGUGGUCGGGACGUUUAUUGGGCCUAAAGCAUCCGUAGCCGGUUCUACAAGUCUUCCGUUAAAUCCACCUGCUUAACAGAUGGGCUGCGGAAGAUACUAUGGAGCUAGGAGGCGGGAGAGGCAAGCGGUACUCGAUGGGUAGGGGUAAAAUCCGUUGAUCCAUUGAAGACCACCAGUGGCGAAGGCGGCUCUCUAGUACGGUACUGACGCUGAGACGCGAAAGCGUGGGGAGCGAACAGG
rnacentral:rRNA from 1 species